rnacentral:rRNA from 1 species
UACGGGGGAUGCAAGCGUUAUCCGGAAUCAUUGGGCGUAAAGCGCCUGUAGGUUGUUUAAUAAGUCUGUUGUUAAAGCCUAGGGCUUAACCCUAGGAAAGCAAUGGAAACUACUAGACUAGAGUAUGAUAGGGGUAGAGGGAAUUUCUAGUGUAGCGGUGAAAUGCGUAGAUAUUAGAAAGAACACCGGUGGCGAAGGCGCUCUACUGGAUCAUUACUGACACUCAGAGGCGAAAGCUAGGGUAGCAAAAGGGAUUAGAUACCCCUGUAGUCCUAGCCGUAAACGAUGGAUACUACAUGUUGUGCAUAGUACAGUAUGGUAGCUAACGCGUUAAGUAUCCCGCCUGGGGAGUACGCUCGCAAGGGUG